UAGAAAAUAUUCAACAAUUGCAAGAAGUUCAUGGAACUCCAAGUUUUUAAAACACACACCAGCAGUCAGAAAGCACACAUGUUGCAUUUUUCCGUUUAACGAGAUUUUCUCCUGCACACUUUGACAUAAGCAACAGGUCUGCUGUAUCAGAGGGGACAGAGCUCUCCACCUAGAAACAGCUAAAGAGAAUUUUCUAGAUCCCUAACCCCACAUAGUCUUUGGCUAUUCUAGCACAGAACAGAAAACGGCCUGAAACAUUUGUACAUAUGCCAUAUGCACCCUAGUACUAGUAAGUAAGACUGAAAUUCUAACUAUAUUGUUCGUAAAACUUCUACUUAAGCUACAUCUUUAAACCACAAGGCAUUCCAGCAGAACAGCAAACCUCCAUUGGGCACCUACAGUUACUAACUAGCUACUAAAUGGCUGACACCGAUAAUCUUUACAGACGGGGGCUCUAAUGGCCAAAACCGCCAGACAAAAGCAACGAUACCCCGACAAUUUAAAUAAAAAUAGUCAUAUACAUAGCAACAUAAUAGGAGAUUGUCACAUGCAUACCCAGGAAGCUCCCAAACGUAACCACUCCCUGCUCCCUACAGGGACCACGUGCCAGUUUCAGAUGUCUGAACUACACAGCCAAACUGGUUUUCAGGUAAGUACCUCCGAAGUUCAAAGCAAAAUUAGGCCGCCUCACUGCUUGGGAGACUUGUUUUGCCAUCCCACAGGAUGGUACUGCGAUUGAAAAAUCAAACGGUACUCACGCACCAGGCCAAGAGUCUUAGUGCAGCAGCUAUUCGCUUGACAUCCUAGAUCUGCUGCUCCCUCUUUAAACAGCAUGUUUUCAAUAGUAGCAGAAUAUUCAGUUUUUCAAUAGUAACACAUUUUUGUCACACAGUAUUGGAAGGUUCUCAAAAAGAUUUUAGAAGGGUUUCAAAGAUAGCAAGUCACACGUGUCCAGUUUAGCAUCAUCAUUUCCCCCAGUUUGAUAUGGAGAGGCAUUAAUCCAGAACUUAGUGCUUCUUUUCUAGAAUGAAUGAAACUAAGUUCCAGCCAAGAAAAGGUAUGAAACAAAGCUUUUCUAAGAUAACAUUUGCUGUUAUUUCAUCUCAAGCACUGACUUCCUCUAUAGAAGAACUUCACGAAAAGCACCCAUUGAAAGAAAAUAACCAAAAGCACCCAAAAAAAGUAGCACUUUGGCCGAAGAAGAGAGGUAUUCACGCACCACGCAGGGGGAAGGACCCGCCUUGCCGUUCUGCACGCACCUCCGACACCGGCCCCACAGGGCGGCGGCGCGGGGCGGGAGCGCGGCGCAGCCCCCGGGGCUCCAGCGGCCCGCGGCCCCCUCUCGCCGCGCACCUCGGGCUCCGCUCCAGGCCACGCCGCGCCAACUCUGCCAGACGAGUUCUUCUGCCGGCCGCCUCGCCGGACUGAGGAGAAAAAGCGAUCGGCGAGGCGAGGCGGGAAGCCGAUGGAGAGCGGCAAGGCAGCCCGAGGGACGAGCGCGACACGACCGGAGCGGCAGCUGCUCCGGGGCACCGGGACGCCCUGAGAGGAACGGCACCCGCCCGCAACGCCCCCGAAGAGCGCCCGCCGGCCCCUCGGGCGGCACGACGCGAGCCGGUGACUUACCCUUGAUACAAAGCAGUCAACUGUGUUUGGACAUGGGUCUCUCUGACAUUUAUAGAGGGGAUCUAAGUGAAAACCAUAAAGAAGAUACUGCCCAAUCAUAAAGCCAACUUCCACUGCAGAUCUUGUGAAAAUAUGGAUCACGCUCUUAGUCUGUAUAAGGCAUGACCCAUAUACACCAAGGAAGGGGAAGACACAAAUAUAACUUGCAAGACCCAGUAUCUUAUGAGAGAGAUGGGAAAGGCCUCAUCAUAGCACACAUUUCUGCAACCAGGCUGCUCAGU